UUUGCUAAUAGGUUACAUAGCUUUAGCAGUAUAAUGGACAACUUGUUAGAUAUACUUUAUAGGUUAAUAUUUGGCUAUCAUAUGCCUAUGUAGUUUUCUCUGUGAUAGAGUUAGGGACCAGCACUAAUAGGACUAACCAAACGUACAAAUCUGAAUAUCCCCAACCCAAGAAGUUUGGCUAUUACCCAAGCUGCAAUGAUCAGAAGAUUGUGUUUUCUACAUGUGCCAAAUUUCUAUUUAUGAUCAGGUUGAUCAUCCUUUUCCACUGUGUGCCCUUCAGUCUUGUGAGAUAUAUCCUAAUAUUGCUACAGAACCGGCUUAUUGUACCUGUGGUACUAGUAGUAAUUAGCUUUCCAGACCAAUGCCAACUCCAGUUUGCCUCUGAUAGGUCCCAAAAGCAUUGUAUCCGUCAGUAAAUGAAACAGACAAAAUAAAAUAAAUCAGUAAGGUGGAGUAAAGCCCUUCUUUUAAAUAAAUAAAUAAAUAGUGCAGAUCACACGUCUCCCCAUUCUCAUUUGCACAGAGUCCAUCAUCUUUUGAGGUCCAAAUAGUCCCAAGGCAACUGCAGUGAUUGCAUUAAUAAAAAAAAAAAGACAGCUGCUAAAUACUAUGUGAAAUACUUUCACAAUUUACUUUUCCAUGUAAGCAGUUUAAUAGAUGGAGACAAGGAAGGGAAACCAAGCAUCUGGAAUAGUGGAACCACAGUUUGGGAAUCAUUGCCCUCUGAAAAUUGAUUAGGGAUAUCAGGUUAUUGUUUUCAUUUUAGCAUAAGGGAAACAAUUCUUAAGCAGCAUAUUGUACCUGUUCAUUUGGUACAAAAUAGUACAGUGUUCACUAAACAAUGUGAAGAGAACACAACUUACUUAAAUCAUUUUGACAUCUAUAAACACUAUUAAAGUAAAUUUUGUUAUUUAAAAAGUAUUAAGAGUCAGGACGCCAGCAGAUUUAAGAUAUUGUCCCAUGACUUGGGAGAAGGCCAAUUGGCAGGGUUUUGUAGUCACUGCAGAGGUGGAACACAAGGAAGAAUACAUUUUGAAAGGAAGAAAAUAAAUACUAACAAUUAUCUUCACUUACAAUCACAAGAGUAAUAGAUUGUUUUGAUAGAUUCUGAACUUAAUGUGAAAAGUUGUCCUUAAAAUUCAGACCCAGUACCCCCCAGAAUAUACUCAGAUCUAUGUAGAUGCAGAGCCUUAAAAGCUAAGAUUGUAAACAGACCAUUUCUGCUAAGUCAAAAGGGGCUAAGGUUUGUGCGAGAGCUCUCUUUUUCUAUAUAGAAAAAUACCUUGAGCAUGCUGUUGUGCUUUAAGUAGAGUCCGUUAAAAGCAGCGACAUACUUCAGGAAGUAUGCAAUCUUGUGUCUCUGUUCAUGUCAGUCUUGCUAUGUGUAUGGAAUUUUCUUCUCUAUAAUGAAGAUAUGUUUGUGACCAAUGGGAGUUGAAUUCAGGUAAUGGUGUAGUUGUGUGAACCUAAAAUAUGGGCAAAAGGAAAGAUGGCGUUUUUGCCUGUAGGAAUCCACUAUAACAUGAAGUUUAAAGAAAUAUAUGAACUAAAGUGAUAAGCAGGACAGUGGAGGACAACCUGAUUUUGCAUAGAGUGUGCUGCAAUGUGGCCAUAAAGUUAGUGCAGGCUAAUAGUAGGAGUACAGCUGUUACCCAGCACUUUACUGGUUUGCCAAAGUCUUCCCGUACACAGCCAGUGAUGGGAAUGCCCAACUAAAAACCUCAUUUGCAAUCUGAGAAUAGCAUUUAAACCCAUAACCGCUCACUGAUUUGACAAUUCCCCCAUAUUCUGCUCCUUUUUUGCCUCACGAUAUUGAGAAGGGAAAAGACACAUAAUGGAGUUAACACAUUUUUGCUCAGUGAAGACUACUAUGUCUAAGGUUUAACCUUGCCUCCCCCCACAGCCUGUGCUUACCCUUGUGCUGGAGUGCAGCAACCUUGCUCAUCCUGACACAGCUUCUAAUACUUGCAAGAUUAAGGCUUGAGUGACAGACUCAACCAUUGCAACAAUUGUAUCCUUCCUACACAUGCUUCCCUACUUCUUGUUUUCCUUCUCUCCUUCCUGGAUAUACUGCUCCCUUGUAUAUGCUGCCAGACUGCCUCAUGCCUCCUGAGAGGCAAGGGGACUGGGACUGACACAGCUACAACUACAUUCCAUUGCUCUUCUGCAGGUGGCUGGCAGCUCCAGUCCCAAUGACUCCAGUCACUGUGGGGACUUCGGUUUCCUCUAUUCUUAAGUGACAGCAGUCCGUAAUAAAAGAUUCAACAUUCAACUGCCUCACUUUCACCUUCUUAAACCUCCGGGUCUGGAGACAAAAGUCCACGCAAUCUAAUCAGCUGUCUUUCUAUGGACCUCAGGUGGGCCACAAUCCACAGUUCGGGAACUAUUGCUGUAUCAUUUAACAGCCAUGACAGGCAUUUAGAGCUCAGUGUUUCCUGUUCAGGCUAGGUGAAGCGAUCUCUAAGAGAUCAGCGUUACUUCUCUUUCACAGAUUGCCUCUGUAGAUAGAAACUGAGACAGGAUGACUAGCUCAACACAGCAAUACAAACUCCCCCAGUUGGUAUAAAACAAGGGGACGCGAAGUCCGGGGGCUGCAAUUUGUUAACUCUCUUAUUUAUCAGGCAUGGAAUGGACACGUUUUGAUAAUGUUCUGUCAAGGGGCACUUUGAAUGAACACCCUUAAAUAGCACACUUCAAAAAGGUUAUAGAAAAAUAGUGCAAACAAAUGCUAUGUGCAAGGCCAAAGACAAGAUGUAAUAUGACAAUAAAAGUGGAUGACAACAACAUGAAUUACUGGAAAAAAAACCUCAAAAGCUUUAGCAAUAGAACAGAAAUCUUGGUACAAAAGUAAAAGGUCUGCUUGGGUGAUGGUAAAGCUUUGAUGACAUUUCAAAUUAAAAAUAGAGACAUCAUUCUGCUACUUUGGAAAUAGCUGAUAGUUGAAAUGCCUGAUUCCCUAUUGUAUUUCUUAGGCAGCCUAAUUUAACUUUGUGCCAAUUUGUGCAAUGUUAAUUACAAUGGACUGGAUUAUACCUUGAGGCAGCAGUAAUCAAUAGGUGGACCACAGGCCAAAUCUGAACCGCCAGAUACUUUUGAAUGGUCUUAUUUACAUAUCAUUGUUAUUUUUCUCUGGAGUUGGGA